rnacentral:rRNA from 1 species
CCAAUAGCGUAUAUUAAAGUUGUUGCAGUUAAAAAGCUCGUAGUUGAAUUUCGGGAUUGACACAUCGGUCGUGCCUUAAGGGGUAUGAACUGGUGUAGUCAAUUUCUCACCUUCUGGAGAACCGCGAUGCCCUUAAUUGGGUGUCACGGGGAACCAGGACCUUUACUUUGAAAAAAUUAGAGUGUUUAAAGCAGGCAUUUUGCUUGAAUACAUUAGCAUGGAAUAAUACAAUAGUACGGCAUGAUUCUAUUUUGUUGGUUUCUAGGAUCACCGUAAUGAUUAAUAGUGAUAGUUGGGGGCAUUAGUAUUCAAUUGUCAGAGGUGAAAUUCUUGGAUUUAUUGAAGACUAACUACUGCGAAAGCAUUUGCCAAGGAUGUUUGCAUUAAGCAAGAACGAAAGUUAGGGGAUCGAAGACGAUCAGAUACCGUCGUAGUCUUAACCAUAAACUAUGCCGACUAGGAAUCAGACGAUGUUAAUUUUUUAAUGACUCGUUUGGCACCUUACG